GAUGAAGAACGUAGCGAAAUGCGAUACUUGGUGUGAAUUGCAGAAUCCCGUGAACCAUCGAGUCUUUGAACGCAAGUUGCGCCCGAAGCCAUUAGGCCGAGGGCACGCCUGCCUGGGCGUCACACGUCGUUGCCCCCCCAUCUACUCCUUCGGGAUUGCGGGGGGCGGAUGAUGGCCUCCCGUGCGCCUCGUCGCGCGGUUGGCAUAAAUACCAAGUCCUCGGCGACGCACGCCACGACAAUCGGUGGUGGCGAAACCUCGGUUGCCCGUCGUGUGCGGUCGUCGCGCAUCGAGGGCUCGAAAAAAUUGCCGGGCUCCGGCUCGGCUUUCAACGCGACCCCAGGUCAGGCGGGGUUACCCGCUGAAUUUAAGCAUAUCAAUAAGCGGAGGA
rnacentral:misc_RNA from 1 species